CUGGCGCCUUUCUUUGAGUCUUGAUUAAAGGAUUCUCGCUUAGGAGUUACGACAGACGACUGUGACGUGCAUCCGAAAUGGCGAUGCAGACCGGAGUUUCCACCUCCAAAGUUCUAAUCCUCGUCGGUGCAGGUUUGACUGGUUCAGUUAUUUUGAGGAGUGGAAGAUUGUCUGAUGUCAUUUUGCAACUUCAGGAAUUAUUGAAGGGUGUGAAUGAAGUUGAGAUCUCAGCUAAUAAGUAUGACAGUGUUCUUCUUGCAGCUCAGGGAUGGUCGAUUUCCGAUGUUAUGUUUGUUACAAAGCAUAAUAUGGAAAAUGCUGUUGUAACUGUGUCAAAACAGUUGGAGAAUGUAACUGAAACACUGGCAUCAACAAAGAGACAUCUGACAAGGAGGCUGGAGAACUUGGAUUGGAAGCUGGAGAGGCAGAAAGAAACUUCUGAGCUCAUUGCAAAUGAUCCAUCCAUUCCACACUUUGAUGGUCACUAUGACCAUUGGAGCAUGCUUAUGGAAAUUUUUUUGAGAUCCAAAGAAUAUUGGACAGUUGUUGUUUCUGGAGUAGCAGAACCAGUAGCUGGUGUUGUGCUGAUAGAUACACAGAAGGUGGAGCUUGCAGGGCAGAAGUUGAAGGAUCUCAAAGCAAAGAAUUAUCUCUUCCAGGAAAUUGAUCGUUCCAUCCUGGAAACCAUUCUUUGUAAAGAAACUUCCAAGCAGAUCUGGGACUCUAUGAAGAAGAAGUAUGAGGGGACAGCAAAGGCAAAGAGGGCACAGCUGCAAGCACUUCGAGGCGAUUUUGCAACUUUACACAUGAAAGUCUGGAGAAUCGGUGAUAGAUUACUUCUCCAGGACAAUGGCAAUCGCAAAUAAGAUGAGAAUCCAUGGCGACCAAAUGACAAAUGUCACAAUCAUUGAGAAGAUUCUUUGUUCGAUGACAACAAAAUUCAACUAUGUUGUUUGUUCGAUUGAGGAAUCUAAAGACACUGACAGCAUGUCCAUUGAUGAAUUGCAGAGUUCUUUGUUGGUUCAUGAGCAAAAAAUGAAUCGGUAAGACAAGGAGGAGCAAGCGUUACAAGCCUCGGCAUCAAAAGGAGGAGGUCAUGGACAUGGAAGAGGCAGAGGUGGCAAUGAUGGUAGACACUCAAAUCAGAAAUCUGAAGAUUUUGAUUCUCAAGGGAGAGGAAAAGGCCAUGACAACAACAACAAUCAUUCAACGGCUUCCAAGUCAAAGUCAGCAGACAAAUCGAGAGUUGAAUGCUACAAGUGUCACAAGUUUGGCCACUACAAGUCAGAGUGUCGUACUAAUCUAAGGAGAGAUGGUGGAAAGCAAUCCAAUUUUUCUCAGAAGGAAGAAGAAGUGUCUUUGUUGAUGGCUUGUCGCGUGAAGGAGGAAACCCACAAGAAAUUCUUGCGGUACUUAGACACUGGCUACAGCAACCAUAUGAGUGGAGAGAAAGUUCUUUGUUGGUUCAUGAGCAGAAAAUGAAUCGGUAAGACAAGGAGGAGCAAGCGUUACAAGCCUCGGCAUCAAAAGGAGGAGGUCAUGGACAUGGAAGAGGCAGAGGUGGCAAUGAUGGUAGACACUCAAAUCAGAAAUCUGAAGAUUCUGAUUCUCAAAGGAGAGGAAAAGGCCAUGACAACAACAACAAUCAUUCAACGCCUUCCAAGUCAAAUCAAGAGUUGAAUGCUACAAGUGUCACAAGUUUGGCCACUACAAGUCAGAGUGUCGUACUAAUCUAAGGAGAGAUGGUGGAAAGCAAUCCAAUUUUGCUCAGAAGGAAGAAGAAGUGUCUUUGUUGAUGGCUUGUCGCAUGAAGGAGGAAACCCACAAGAAAUUCUUGUGGUACUUAGACACUGGCUACAGCAACCAUAUGAGUGGAGAGAAGUUUGUAUUCUCUAAAUUGGAUGAAGCUUUUCGUGAUGUUGUGAAGUUCAGUGAUGGCUCUACAGUCUCUGUUAUGGGAAAAGGGAAAGGUAGCAAUUCAAACCAACAAAAAUUCUAUUCAAACUAUUUCUAAUGUUCUCUUUGUUCCAGAUUUGAGAGCAAGCUUACUCAGUGUUGGUCAGCUAGAAGAAAAGGGAUAUGGAAUCUCUAUCAAAAAUGGAGUCUACAAAAUUGAAGAUGAGAAGUUGGGCUUGAUAGCUCGAGUCAACAUGACAGUCAACCGAAUGUUUCCAUUGUAUCUCCAUGACACCGCUCACUCAUGUCUUUCUACAAGAUUGGGAGAGAAGGAAUGGAUAUGGUAUUUUUGCUAUGGGCAUCUUAGCUUUGGUGGGUUGAAGACUUUACAACAGAAGAAUAUGGUGACAGGUCUUCCUCAAAUUACAACUCCUUCUGAAGUUUGUGAAGAAUGCGUUGUUACCAAACAACACCGUAAUCAAUUCCCACAAGGGAAAUCAUGGAGGGCGAAGGAUGCACUGGAGGUUGUUCAUUCCGACAUUUGCGGGCCAAUAACUCCAUGCUCUAAUGGAGGUAAGAGAUAUAUACUUACUUUCAUUGAUGAUUUUAGUCGUAAAAGCUAGGUUUAUUUUUUGCAAGAGAACUCUAAAGCCUUUCUAGCCUUUUAAAGCUAUAAAGUGUUGGUUGAGAAAUGGCAGUCCCAUAAAAAUUCUUCGCAUAGAUCAUGGUGGAGAAUAUAACUCACAUGAAUUUGCAAGUUUCUGUGAGACUAAUGGAAUCAAGAGGCAGCUUACAGUUGCUUAUACGCCCAACAAAAUGGCGUUUUUGAAGGGAAGAAUCGUACUAUUCCAAAUAUGGCGUGAAGUCUUUUAAUAAGGAGAUGUAUUCCAAAGAGCUUCUGGCAUGAAGUAGUUAACUAAAUCAUUCAUAUAUUGUAUUGAAGUCCCACACUUGUUGUUCAAAAUAAGACACCAGAGGAAGCAUGGAGCAGACGAAAACCAGCUGUUGAUCACUUUAGAAUUUUUGGGUGUGUUGCAUAUGCCCAUAUUCCAGAUCAAAAGAGGAAGAAGCUAGAUGACAAGGGAGAAAAAUGUAUUUUUCUUGGUGUUAGUGAUCAGUCAAAAGCUUAUAAGCUUUACAAUCCUAACACAAGAAAAUACUUAUUAGUCGAGACGUUGUUUUUGAUGAAGAUCAAAUCUGGGAAUGGAGCAAAAAUGUAGUUGGAGAGCCAAUUCCAACUAGUUUUGAUGGAGAAGAUGGUGAUGAAGCAAACCAGCCGCAGCAACACCUUGCUCCAGCAACUGAUGCAUUUGAGAAUCCUCAAAAUGAAACUCCUGCAGCCUCUGAAGUCACUCCAACAGCACCAGAAGCAGUAGCUAAAUCAUGUUCUCAUCGUGUUUGAAGGAGGGAGGUAACCGGAAUUGAUCAAUCUGAAGAUCAAAUCACUCAUUUUGCUUUGGGCUAUAAGCAAGAGUGCGGUGUUGAUUAUAAAGAAGUCUUUGCUCCUGUUGCAAGGCAUGACACAAUCAGAUUGGUGAUUGCAUUAGCAGCUCAGAACUCAUGGCCUAUCUUUCAGCUGGACGUGAAGUCGGCGUUCCUCCAUGGAGAUUUGAAGGAACUGGUAUUUAUCGAUCAACCUCGUGGUUAUGUGAAAUCUGGAAAUGAGCAUAAAGUGUAUAGACUAAAGAAGGCUCUAUAUGGAUUAAAACAAGCCCCAUGGGGUUGGUAUAAUCAUAUAGAAACUAAUUUUUUGAAGGAAGGAUUUCAAAAACGUCCUUAUGAACGUACACUUUUCAUAAAAGUUGAGGAUGGAGGGAAAAUGCUCAUUGUUUGCUUAUAUGUAGAUGAUCUAAUCUAUACUGGAAGUAAUACAGCCAUGUUUGGAAGCUUUAAGAAAUCCAUGAUGGCUGAAUUUGAAAUGUUUGAUCUUGGCAUGAUGCAUUACUUUCUUGGCAUAGAAGUGUUGUAGUCUUCUACCAACCUUCUUAUUUCUCAAAAGAAAUAUGUGGGAGAAAUCUUGGACAGGUUUAAAAUGAAGGAUUGUAAUCUUGUGAAUACACCAUCUUAGUUUGGUUUGAAGCUAAACAAAGAUGAUGGAGGAAAGAAGGUUAACAUUACUCUUUACAAGCAGAUUGUGGGGAGCUUAAUGUAUUUGAAUGCAACAAGGCUUGAUAUAAUGCAUGUUGUAAGUGUCAUUAGUAGAUACAUGGAGUGUCCAAUAGAGAUUCAUCUUUUGGUUGCGAAAAGAAUUCUUAGGUAUUUGCAAGGUACUAAGGAGUUUGGGUUGUUCUUCUAAAAGGGUGAAAAGUCAGAUUUGUUUGGCUUUACAGAUAGUGAUUAUGCAAGAGAUUUUUUAUGAUCGUAAAAGCACAUUUGGGUAUGUUUUCGUGUUGGGAACAGGAGCUGUUUCAUGGUCAUCAAAGAAGCAGCCAAUCGUCACAUUGUCAACCACUGAAGCUGAAUUUGUUGCAACAACAGCAUGUGCUUGUCAAGCUAUUUGGCUGAAAAAGAUUCUUGAAGAGCUGCAGUUCAAAGAAGAUGGGCCUACUCUCAUUUACUGUGAUAACAGUUCAGCAAUAAAGCUCUCAAAGAAUCCUGUUCUAAUUGGUCGAAACAAGCAUAUAGAUGUGAAGUAUCAUUUCUUGAGAGAUCUCACAAAUGAUGGAGUUAUUAAUCUGGUUUACUGCAGAAGCGAAGACUAGAUUGCUGAUAUUCUAACAAAGUCUCUCAAAUUUCCAGCAUUUCUGAAGCUCAAGGAGUUACUUGGUGUUUGUAAUUCAAAGGACUUGAUCUGAGGGAUGACGCUUUAAAGUUUGAGUCUGAUUAAACUGAUGUUAUGUAUGGAACAUCAGUUUAAGGGAGGGUUUGUUGAAUAAAUUAAUAACAGCAAAUGUGUUUUAUUUUCUGCCUAGUUUGUAGGAGUUAGUUAGCAUGAUGUUAGUUGUAGCAUGAUGUUAGUGGUGCCUAUUUUUGUGCUUGUAACCGUUCGUUUUUAGCCUAUAUAAUGGCCAUUUCCUUAUCAAUGAAGUAGUAGAGUUCUCAAUCCAA